UAUGAGGCAAAGUUUAUAACAUUGAUUUAGGAGGCAAAGUUUCAUUACAAAGAAGAUGCAGAGGAGAGGAAGAACAAGAAAAAAGGUUGAAGUGAUGGGUGCCUAUUGAAUCUUCAUCCAACAGUGAUUCUAUUACAAUUUUUAAAAGGUAUUAGAGCAAUCAAAUGAAGAUGGAGCUCAAACUUCAGGAACGUUGAAGGGUUAAGUGAGUCACCAAAGAAAAUAUACGUUACUAAGCUAACUUGCUUCUUUGUACAGAGGGAUUUACCGCUAUGAGUAAGAUUUCAUGUUGU